CCUACGGGGGGCAGCAGUGGGGAAUAUUGGGCAAUGGGCGCAAGCCUGACCCAGCAACGCCGCGUGAAGGAAGAAGGCUUUCGGGUUGUAAACUUCUUUUAAGAGGGAAGAGCAGAAGACGGUACCUCUUGAAUAAGCCACGGCUAACUACGUGCCCGCAGCCGCGGUAAUACGUAGGUGGCAAGCGUUGUCCGGAUUUACUGGGUGUAAAGGGCGUGCAGCCGGGAAGAAAAGUCAGAUGUGAAAUCCCGCGGCUCAACCGCGGAACUGCAUUUGAAACUGUUUUUCUUGAGUACCGGAGAGGUCAUCGGAAUUUCCUGUGUAGCGGGGAAAUGCGUAGAUAUAAGGAAGAACACCAGUGGCGAAGGCGGAUGACUGGACGGCAACUGACGGUGAGGCGCGAAAGCGUGGGG
rnacentral:rRNA from 1 species